CAGCCAGCAGUCAGCAGCUAGCAGCCAGCAGUCAGACAGCCAGACAGCCAGCAGCCAGCAGCCAGUCAGCCAGCAGCCAGCAGCAUGCCAGACUCAGAGCUUGUCGUUCCUGCUCCAUGCCAGGUCAUCCUGGACGACGCCAACAAGUGUGUGAAGCAGAAGGGUGAGGAGAGCUGCAGGGAUCUGAUGGAGGCCUUCCAGACGUGCGUGAAGACCCUGUCAGAGAGCUCCUGACCUGGGCCGGCCCCUUGCAUUCCCCUCCUCGCCUGUGGUUGUGGACUGAACCAUCUGGUCCUUGCGGGCGGGAGUUAGCAGCAACGCCAGAAUACCUGAGACAAACUCAUCCACUCAUUGUGAUGAGCCUGGCUUUCAUACUGUGACUUGUCAAUGCUAAGAGAAGCAUAUAUAUUUUACAAUAAAGACAGUUUU